GCCUGGCUGGCUCAGUCGGUAGAGCGUAGAGCGUGUGACUCUUGAUCUCAGGGUUGUGAGUUCAAGCCCCACGUUGGGUA
rfam:Felis catus isolate Cinnamon breed Abyssinian chromosome E1, whole genome shotgun sequence.